rnacentral:rRNA from 1 species
GAUGAACGCUGGCGGCGUGCCUAACACAUGCAAGUCGAGCGAAGCACUUUGCUUAGAUUCUUCGGAUGAAGAGGAUUGUGACUGAGCGGCGGACGGGUGAGUAACGCGUGGGUAACCUGCCUCAUACAGGGGGAUAACAGUUAGAAAUGACUGCUAAUACCGCAUAAGACCACAGCACCGCAUGGUGCGGGGGUAAAAACUCCGGUGGUAUGAGAUGGACCCGCGUCUGAUUAGCUGGUUGGUAAGGUAACGGCUUACCAAGGCGACGAUCAGUAGCCGACCUGAGAGGGUGACCGGCCACAUUGGGACUGAGACACGGCCCAAACUCCUACGGGAGGCAGCAGUGGGGAAUAUUGCACAAUGGGGGAAACCCUGAUGCAGCGACGCCGCGUGAGCGAAGAAGUAUUUCGGUAUGUAAAGCUCUAUCAGCAGGGAAGAAAAUGACGGUACCUGACUAAGAAGCACCGGCUAAAUACGUGCCAGCCGCCGCGGUAA